CCUACGGGGGGCAGCAGUGAGGAAUAUUGGUCAAUGGGCUUACGCCUGAACCAGCCAAGUCGCGUGAGGGAAGACUGCCCUAUGGGUUGUAAACCUCUUUUGUCAGGGAGUAAUUGGCGCUACGUGUAGCGUUAUCGAGAGUACCUGAAGAAAAAGCAUCGGAUAACUCCGUGCCAGCAGCCGCGGUAAUACGGAGGAUGCGAGUGUAUCCGGAUUUAUUGGGUUUAAGGGGUGCGUAGGCGGAAUGCCAAGUCAGCGGGAAAAUCGCGGGGCUCAACCUCGCUCCGCCGUUGAAACUGGCGUUCUUGAGUGGGCGAGAGGUAUGCGGAAUGCGUGGUGUAGCGGUGAAAUGCAUAGAUAUCACGCAGAACUCCGAUUGCGAAGGCAGCAUACCGGCGCCCAACUGACGCUGAGGCACGAAAGCGUGGGUAUCGAACAGGAUUAGAUACCCCUGUAGUC
rnacentral:rRNA from 1 species